rnacentral:rRNA from 1 species
UACAGAGGUCUCAAGCGUUGUUCGGAUUCAUUGGGCGUAAAGGGUGCGUAGGCGGCGCGGUAAGUCGGGUGUGAAAUCUUGGAGCUUAACUCCGAAACUGCAUUCGAUACUGCCGUGCUUGAGGACUGGAGAGGAGACUGGAAUUUACGGUGUAGCGGUGAAAUGCGUAGAUAUCGUAAGGAAGACCAGUGGCGAAGGCGGGUCUCUGGACAGUUCCUGACGCCGAGGCACGAAGGCCAGGGGAGCAAACGGG